rnacentral:rRNA from 1 species
GGAUUGCCUUAGUAGCGGCGAGUGAAGCGGCAAAAGCUCAAAUUUGAAAUCUGGCACUUUCAGUGUCCGAGUUGUAAUUUGAAGAAGGUAUCUUUGGGUCUGGCUCUUGUCUAUGUUUCUUGGAACAGAACGUCACAGAGGGUGAGAAUCCCGUGCGAUGAGAUGUCCCAGACCUAUGUAAAGUUCCUUCGAAGAGUCGAGUUGUUUGGGAAUGCAGCUCUAAGUGGGUGGUAAAUUCCAUCUAAAGCUAAAUAUUGGCGAGAGACCGAUAGCGAACAAGUACAGUGAUGGAAAGAUGAAAAGAACUUUGAAAAGAGAGUGAAAAAGUACGUGAAAUUGUUGAAAGGGAAGGGCUUGAGAUCAGACUUGGUAUUUUGUAUGUUACUCUCUCGGGGGUGGCCUCUACAGUUUACCGGGCCAGCAUCAGUUUGAGCGGUAGGAUAAGUGCAAAGAAAUGUGGCACUGCUUCGGUAGUGUGUUAUAGUCUUUGUCGAUACUGCCAGCUUAGACUGAGGACUGCGGCUUCGGCCUAGGAUGUUGGCAUAAU